AUUGUUACAAUUGUGUUAUUUUGUGAGUUAUUGUUGUACAGGCUAUUGUAUAUUGCAGGACCAAGUGAGACGAGGAAGACCACUGCUUCCAAGAUGCCGCGCUCAGAAAGUGCGUUGGACAAGUCUCGACCUUGCAGAUCCUGCCCCACUGAGCCCAACCACUUCCGACCAUGGGGUACCUCAAAGACCUCCGUCAACCAGCCGGCUGUGGAUGAUGGAUAACGCACCCACAACUCCCUCUCCAGUCUACAAGACACCCCCACAGUCCAAGAACAGCUGGAUGACCUCUGGACCCACUUGCCCCCGUUCACCAGUUGAAAAGAUAGGCUUUUUAAAAAAUUCUUCAAUUGUUAAUUCUGCACAAAGUGAUACACAAAACAUUGUAUGUCUUCCAUUUCAACAAACCCAAACAUGAAAUGUAUAUUUCAAUACAUAACUUAAUGCAAAUCAAUCAUACUAAAUAUCAUCUUUUUUUUUUAAA